GAACCACUUUUCUGUACAUGCAGGAAAGUCAAGGCCAUACGGACAGCCGGGUUCACUGCCGA
rnacentral:sRNA from 1 species